UACGUAGGGAGCAAGCGUUGUCCGGAUUUACUGGGUGUAAAGGGUGCGUAGGCGGCAAAGCAAGUCAGGAGUGAAAUCUAUGGGCUUAACCCAUAAACUGCUUUUGAAACUGUUUUGCUUGAGUGAGGUAGAGGUAGGCGGAAUUCCCGGUGUAGCGGUGGAAUGCGUAGAGAUCGGGAGGAACACCAGUGGCGAAGGCGGCCUACUGGGCCUUAACUGACGCUGAGGCACGAAAGCGUGGGUAGCAAAC
rnacentral:rRNA from 1 species